rnacentral:rRNA from 1 species
UACGUAGGGUGCGAGCGUUAAUCGGAAUUACUGGGCGUAAAGCGCGCGCAGGCGGCCUUUCAAGUCAGGGGUGAAAGCCCGGAGCUCAACUCCGGAAUUGCCUUUGAAACUGUCAGGCUCGAGUACGGGAGAGGUGAGUGGAAUUCCCAGUGUAGAGGUGAAAUUCGUAGAUAUUGGGAAGAACACCGGUGGCGAAGGCGGCUCACUGGCCCGUUUCUGACGCUCAGGCGCGACAGCGUGGGGAUCAAACAGG